GCACCGGUAGUGUAAGGUGAACAUCUCAGCCCAGAAAGCAGAAGAUGCGGGUUCGAGUCCCGCCUAGCGUA
rnacentral:tRNA from 1 species